AUUGAACGCUGGCGGCAGGCCUAACACAUGCGAGUCGAACGAGUGGCGGACGGGUGAGUAAUGUAUGGGAAACUGCAUGAUGGCGGGGGAUAACUACUGGAAACGGUAGCUAAUACCGCAUACCAUCGGAUGUGCCCAGAUGGGAUUCGCUAGUAGGUGGGGUAAAGGCUCACAUAGGCGACGAUCCCUAGCAGGUCUGAGAGGAUGACCAGCCACACGGCAACUGUGACACGGUCCAGACGCCUACGGUAGGCAGCAGUGGGGAAUCUUGCAUAAUGGGCGCUAGCCUGAUGCAGCCAUGCCGAGUGUAUGAAGAAGGCGUUCGGGUUGUAAAGUACUUUCAGCGGGGAGGCGUUACCCGCAGAAGAAGCACCGGCUAACUCCGUGCCAGCAGCCGCGGUAAUUC
rnacentral:rRNA from 1 species